GCGGCAACAGCUCAAAUUUGAAAUCUGGCCCUUGGGUCCGAAUUGUAAUUUGUAGAGGAUGAUUUUGGUGCGGUAUCUUCCGAGUUCCUUGGAACAGGACGCCUUAGAGGGUGAGAGCCCCGUACGGUUGAAUGCCUAGCCUCUGUAAAUCUCCUUCGACGAGUCGAGUAGUUUGGGAAUGCUGCUCUAAAUGGGAGGUAAAUUUCUUCUAAAGCUAAAUACUGGCCAGAGACCGAUAGCGCACAAGUAGAGUGAUCGAAAGAUGAAAAGCACUUUGAAAAGAGGGUUAAAUAGCACGUGAAAUUGUUGAAAGGGAAGGAUUUAUGACCAGACUUUUUCUGGGCGGAUCAUCCGGUGUUCUCACCGGUGCACUUUGCCCAGUUUAGGCCAGCAUCGAUUUUCGGAGAGGGAUAAAAGCUUUAGGAAUGUGGCUCCCCCGGGAGUGUUAUAGCCUAUUGUAUAAUACCUUUCUGGGGAUCGAGGUACGCGCUUCUGCAAGGAUGCUGGCGUAAUGGUUAUCAAUCACCCGUCUUGAAACACGGACCAAGGAGUCGAACAUUUGUGCGAGUGUUUGGGUGUUAAACCCUCACGCGUAAUGAAAGUGAACGGAGGUGAGAGCCCUUACGGGUGCAUCAUCGACCGAUCCUGAAGUUUUCGGAUGGAUUUGAGUAAGAGCAUAACUGUUCGGACCCGAAAGAUGGUGAACUAUGCGUGGAUAGGGUGAAGCCAGAGGAAACUCUGGUGGAGCCUCGCAGCGGUUCUGACGUGCAAAUCGAUCGUCAAAUCUGCGCAUGGGGGGCGAAAGACU
rnacentral:rRNA from 1 species